UAUAUAUAUACAUACAUACAUGUGUUAGGCAAUCAAUCAAUCUUCAACUCUACAUGGAGAACUACAAUGGAGACAGAACACGAGGAGAGAGAGACGCCCUCACAUGGCCUCCCUUAUAUAGACAGUUUCUUAAAGUGGCAGUACCCAGCUGACUCAUCCUCAGUUCAUCAUCUUGGCUUA